rnacentral:rRNA from 1 species
CCUACGGGAGGCAGCAGUGAGGAAUAUUGGUCAAUGGGCGCAAGUCUGAACCAGCCAUGCAGCGUGCAGGAUGACUGCCCUACGGGUUGUAAACUUCUUUUCUACGGGAAUAAAGGCAGGCACGCGUGCCUUUUUGUAUGUAUUUUAUGAAUAAGGAUCGGCUAACUCCGUGCCAGCAGCCGCGGUAAUACGGAGGAUCCGAGCGUUAUCCGGAUUUAUUGGGUUUAAAGGGUGCGUAGAUGGGUUGUUAAGUUAGAUGUGAAAGUUUGCGGCUCAACCGUAAAAUUGCAAUUGAUACUGGUAGUCUUGAGUAUAGUUGAGGUAGGCGGAAUUCGUGGUGUAGCGGUGAAAUGCUUAGAGAUCACGAAGAACUCCGAUUGCGAAGGCAGCUUACUAAGCUGCCACUGACAUUGAUGCUCGAAAGUGUGGGUAUCAAACAGGAUUAGAUACCCUGGUAGUC